rnacentral:rRNA from 1 species
GACGAACGCUGGCGGCGUGCUUAACACAUGCAAGUGGUGCGACGAACCAGGCUUCGGCCUGGGGCGAAGCCGCGAACGGGUGAGUAACACGUGGGCAAUCUGCCCCUUUGAUCGGGACAACCCGGGGAAACCCGGGCUAAUACCGAAUGAGGUGGCGACUCAUGAGAGUCGUCACGAAAGGAAGCUUCGGCCUCCGCGAAGGGAUGAGCCCGCGGCCCAUUAGCUUGUUGGUGGGGUAAUGGCCUACCAAGGCAACGAUGGGUAGCUGGUCUGAGGGGGCGACCGGUCACACUGUGACGGAGACACGGCCCAGACUCCUACGGGAGGCAGCAGUGGGGAAUAUUGCGCAAUGGGCGAAAGCCUGACGCAGCGACGCCGCGUGAGGGAUGAAGGUCUUCGGAUCGUAAACCUCUUUCAGUAGGGACGAGGCGCAAGUGACGGUACCUACAGAAGAAGGACCGGCCAACUACGUGCCAGCAGCCGCGGUAA